CAGGCUUAACACAUGCAAGUCGAGGGGCAGCAUGGUCUUAGCUUGCUAAGGCCGAUGGCGACCGGCGCACGGGUGAGUAACACGUAUCCAACCUGCCGUCUACUCUUGGACAGCCUUCUGAAAGGAAGAUUAAUACAAGAUGGCAUCAUGAGUCCGCAUGUUCACAUGAUUAAAGGUAUUCCGGUAGACGAUGGGGAUGCGUUCCAUUAGAUAGUAGGCGGGGUAACGGCCCACCUAGUCUUCGAUGGAUAGGGGUUCUGAGAGGAAGGUCCCCCACAUCGGAACUGAGACACGGUCUAAACUCCUACGGGAGGCAGCAGUGAGGAAUAUUGGUCAAUGGGCGAGAGCCUGAACCAGCCAAGUAGCGUGAAGGAUGACUGCCCUAUGGGUUGUAAACUUCUUUUAUAAAGGAAUAAAGUCGGGUAUGGAUACCCGUUUGCAUGUACUUUAUGAAUAAGGAUCGGCUAACUCCGUGCCAGCAGCCGCGGUAAUACGGAGGAUCCGAGCGUUAUCCGGAUUUAUUGGGUUUAAAGGGAGCGUAGAUGGAUGUUUAAGUCAGUUGUGAAAGUUUGCGGCUCAACCGUAAAAUUGCAGUUGAUACUGGAUAUCUUGAGUGCAGUUGAGGCAGGCGGAAUUCGUGGUGUAGCGGUGAAAUGCUUAGAUAUCACGAAGAACUCCGAUUGCGAAGGCAGCCUGCUAAGCUGCAACUGACAUUGAGGCUCGAAAGUGUGGGUAUCAAACAGGAUUAGAUACCCUGGUAGUCCACACGGUAAACGAUGAAUACUCGCUGUUUGCGAUAUACGGCAAGCGGCCAAGCGAAAGCGUUAAGUAUUCCACCUGGGGAGUACGCCGGCAACGGUGAAACUCAAAGGAAUUGACGGGGGCCCGCACAAGCGGAGGAACAUGUGGUUUAAUUCGAUGAUACGCGAGGAACCUUACCCGGGCUUAAAUUGCAGAUGAAUUACGGUGAAAGCCGUAAGCCGCAAGGCAUCUGUGAAGGUGCUGCAUGGUUGUCGUCAGCUCGUGCCGUGAGGUGUCGGCUUAAGUGCCAUAACGAGCGCAACCCUUGUUGUCAGUUACUAACAGGUUCCGCUGAGGACUCUGACAAGACUGCCAUCGUAAGAUGUGAGGAAGGUGGGGAUGACGUCAAAUCAGCACGGCCCUUACGUCCGGGGCUACACACGUGUUACAAUGGGGGGUACAGAGGGCCGCUACCACGCGAGUGGAUGCCAAUCCCCAAAACCUCUCUCAGUUCGGACUGGAGUCUGCAACCCGACUCCACGAAGCUGGAUUCGCUAGUAAUCGCGUAUCAGCCACGGCGCGGUGAAUACGUUCCCGGGCCUUGUACACACCGCCCGUCAAGCCAUGGGAGCCGGGGGUACCUGAAGUGCGUAACCGCGAGGAGCGCCCUAGGGUAAAACUGGUGACUGGGGCUAA
rnacentral:rRNA from 1 species